GUAGUGAUGUCGAGUGCCUUUUCCUAAACUUCUUGAUCAUUGGUAUGUCCUCACUUGGGAAAUAUCUGUUCAAGCGUUUUGCCCAUUUAAAAAAAAAUCACUUAUUUGUUUUUGUUUUAGUUUUGCUACUGAGUUUUGAAAGUUUCUUAUAUAUUUUGGAUAGUAACCCUUUGCCAGACAUAUGGCUUGAAAUAUUUCUCCUCGUUCUGCAGCAGGGAGUUUCAUUUUAUUGAUUAUUCUCUUUGAGGUGCAGAAACUUCAGUUUGGUAUAGUCCCAAUUGUUUAUUUUUGCCUGUGCUUUCAGUGUCAUAGCCAAAAAAAUCAUUGCACAUAUCGAAGUCAAGAAGCUCUCUAUGUUUUCUUCUAGUAGUUUUAUGGUUUCAGGUCUUAGAGGACCCACCACAAACCACAUACGUGGAAAGUGGCAUCUUUUUUAUGAAUCCACCAACUUCUUAUUCAGAAGAUUAACUUGGGUAGGAAGAAUCAAUAUCGUGAAAAUGGCCAUAUUGCCCAAGGUAAUUUACAGAUUCAAUGCCAUCCCCAUCAAGCUACCAAUGACUUUCUUCACAGAAUUGGAAAAAACUACUUUAAAGUUCAUAUGGAACCAAAAAAGAGCCCGCAUCACCAAGUCAAUCCUAAGCCAAAAGAACAAAGCUGGAGGCAUCAUGCUACCUGACUUCAAACUACACUACAAGGCUACAGUAACCAAAAC
rnacentral:lncRNA from 1 species